AAGCGAAGUUAACACCAUGUAGGGGAGCAGGUGCCUUAAAGUCUGGCUUCGCCCCCAAAAGGAAAUGGGCAGAACUCUCACGAGACAGUGGUGGACAUUUUGGUGACAUUUUAUGAACCACCAAAGGCACCAGACAGAACUUAUGAUGGAGCAGGAGAUGGGAUGGGAAGAGGAGGAGGACACAGACAUGGCAGACUCAAAUUGGCUGAUACAGCUUAUGAUGCUCCGUACACCUGCUCACUCCUGCUAAUGGGCCAGCGCUUCUGGUGCAGAGCCACAAGCACAGACUGGUGAGACUACAUCAUCAUGCAGACCUGGAUGACCAGCAGUGGGUCCAGAACAUUUGCUGACCAGGUCAUUGUGCACUACUGUUGGCUCUGUGCUUAGCACAGUACCAAACACUGGGUCAAACUCCUCAUAAAACAGGUCUGAUAUUGCUGAGGCCAUUGUGGUCUUGAGGGGGACUCCCUCAACAUACCUGAAUGACUGACCCAGAUAAGGAGGUGAAAAAAGAAAAUGCAGGAGCACAUGCUCUUUGAGAUCCUGCAUGACAGUGCUGUAUCCGACCUUGAACAGAAGGCCUGGAGGGUGGAUACUGCACUCUGUAUAAAGAAGGAAAGAGAGGACAGGAAAAAAGCGAAGGAGAGGCAAAGGGAGAUCCACCAGGACAUAAUGGGACUUCUCCAACAGCAAAUUCAGAUGCUUCAGACUCUUGUGGAUCUCCAGUUUCAACAGUCCUGGGCUUGACUCCCAUUGCAGUCUGUGGAGAACUGUGGCAUAGUCCCUCUCUAAAACCCCCUCAGCAUUCCUCGUGGCCUCCUGUCCAGCACACCUACUUUACUGCUCCACACCAGGGGAAAGCAUGGACAACUACAGCUUCAGCUACACUGACCUGUGAGAGCUAUGGUUGAUGUAUCUGUAGCUACAAUGAACAUCAAUCUUCCUUCCUCUGAUUUAUUUAUUAA